GGCGUUGUGCCCAGCAGUUGGCGGGGCACCUGUGGGGCAUCAGGGCUUCUACCGACCAAAGCUCCAGGUCAUGUGCCUUUCGUUGCGCAGACUGUAAAUCUGCCGGCUCAGCCUUCCCAGGUUCGAAUCCUGGCGCCGCCA
rnacentral:tRNA from 1 species